rnacentral:rRNA from 1 species
CCUACGGGUGGCAGCAGUGAGGAAUAUUGGUCAAUGGGCGUAAGCCUGAACCAGCCAAGUCGCGUGAGGGAUGAAGGUUCUAUGGAUCGUAAACCUCUUUUAUAAGGGAAUAAAGUGCGGGACGUGUCCCGUUUUGUAUGUCUCUUUUGUAUAAGGAUCGGCUAAUUCUGCGCACGCAGCCGCGGUAAUCCGGCGAAUCCGAGCGUUAUCCGGAGUUAUUGGGUUUAAGGGUUGCGUAGGGGGCCUGUUAUGUCGGCGGUGAAAGUCUGUGGCUCAACCAUAGAAUUGCCGUUGCAACUGGGAGGCUUGAGUAUGUUUGAGGUAGGCGGAAUGCGUGGUGUAGCGGUGAAAUGCUUAGAUAUCACGCAGAACCCCGAUUGCGAAGGCAGCCUGCCAAGCCAUGACUGACGCUGAUGCACGAAAGCGUGGGGAUCAAACAGGAUUAGAUACCCCUGUAGUC